rnacentral:tRNA from 1 species
CGCGGGGUGGAGCAGCUUGGUAGCUCGUCGGGCUCAUAACCCGAAGGUCGUCGGUUCAAAUCCGGCCCC